rnacentral:pre_miRNA from 1 species
UCGACUCCUCACCCGAAUCGUUGUUCAUUUGUAUUGCUUGCCUCAAAUGGACAACGAUUUGGGUGAGGAGUUGAGCAG